GACGUAGGGUCCGAGCGUUGUCCGGAGUUACUGGGCGUAAAGCGUGCGUAGGUGGUUCGUUAAGUCUGUCGUGAAAGCCCCGGGCUCAACCUGGGAAUGGCGAUGGAUACUGGCGGGCUAGAGUGCGGUAGAGGAGAGUGGAAUUCCCGGUGUAGCAGUGAAAUGCGUAGAGAUCGGGAGGAACAUCAGUUGCGAAGGCGGCUCUCUGGACCAGCACUGACACUGAGGCACGAAAGCGUGGGGAGCAAACAGG
rnacentral:rRNA from 1 species